GGCUGGAGGGCUGGGUACUGGCUGGGAGCAGAGCCCAUGCAAAGGCUUUCUCAUUUUCAGCUUGUCCCAAUUAAAAGCACAUACAGGGAUUAUCUCUGAUUUUCACCUGGGCCUUCCAGGAUCUAAUUUCUACCAGGAAUAGUAGCUCUGGGCAGGUUGAACGCCCUCAGGAUUUGCAAAGUGACAGGGUAGCUGAAUGCCAGCAUUUUGCUGCCAGCAGACUUGAGGUAGAGGAGGAUCCCACAGGACUGAUAAAUCUCACCUACUGCUGAAGCCAAAGGUUCCUUUUCACUUGCCUCCAACAAAGACAGAGGCAGAUAUAGCUCCUAUUGCUCUCCUGCUGUAUUAGAGGUGAACUUCCUUGGAGAAUUUAAAAAAAAAAAAACAAGUUGGGAAAGUUUUUCACCUGGGUUGUUGCCUCUGAGCAUCUGCAGUGGGAUGAGUCAGACAAUGCAGCUGCAGAAUAAUGAAUGUGAUCGUGUUUUUCAACCAGCUAACUUCAGAGCUGCUGUGCUAAUGGUCUUUGCAGUGUUUCACAGUGGAGGGCAGUUUUUACCUGCUGCCUGGAGUGUGUUUGCCUGAUGUUUUACAUCCAGAACUCACUGUUCCUUUUGAGGAGGCAGCAGUGCCUGUACUGCAGCUGGGUAAGGCAGACCUGAAGUUCCUUUCCCAAGGAUUCCCCUGCUCUGCAUCUGCUCAAAGACUGUGAUGGUUACUGUGCAGUGAGGACAAGUGUGGAUCUCAUGGAACUGGGUUCCCAAACAUUGUAUACUUGGUACUUGGGCAAAAUAAGGAUCUUCUGACUAUGUGACCAGUAGGGGCAAGACAAGUCUUAUAGCUUGAUGCGUCCAGUCUAUUUUGAUGUGAUUUCUGCAUACCUAGAGAUACAUGUGCUGAGUACAAAAUCAUUAUAACUGUGAACC
rnacentral:lncRNA from 1 species